rnacentral:ncRNA from 1 species
UUCGCAGCGCGUGCUUCAUCACGAUGUUGCGGAAGCUCACGCCCUUGAGGCGCGCGGUGCGGAUGUAUUGCGCGGUCAUCACCUCGGUCAUCGAGGCCCGCGUCAUCCGCGCGAUGUAGCCCAUCCCGUAGAGCGCGAUGGUGAUGACGGGCAGGGUGAAGUUGCGGAAGGUCACGUCG